UACGUAGGGGGCGAGCGUUGUCCGGAAUUAUUGGGCGUAAAGAGUUCGUAGGCGGCCUGUUGCGUCCGCUGUGAAAUCCCAGGGCUCAACCCUGGGCGUGCAGUGGAUACGGGCAGGCUGGAGGCAGGCAGGGGAGAACGGAAUUCCCGGUGUAGCGGUGAAAUGCGCGGAUAUCAGGAGGAACACCGAUGGCGAAGGCAGGUCUCUGGGCCACUACUGACGCUGAGAAGCGAAAGCAUGGGGAGCGAACAGG
rnacentral:rRNA from 1 species